CACUGUCCGAGCAAAAAGAGAACAACGAGAAGAGAGAGAAAGGUAAAGAACGUAUAAAUAACAGAAAUAAGCUAAAGUUGUACAGACGUCAGGCGAUAGAAAUCUGCAGCGUCUGCUUUGCUUGGCCAAAAAUAUUUAAGCGGCUAUAAAUGCUAAAUAACGGUAAUAAAACGCUUAAGCCCCCCAAGCGAGGACAUGGCAAACCAACACGAGAACAGUUCCCAUCUACGACUCCGGCUUUGCGGUUUUGCUUUUUCACAACGGAAAUAAUGCAAAAAUAGCUGAAGGCCAUGACAGAGGAGAGGGACAAUGUGGAAGGCGGCCAAGUCCACCAAGUGCUCCCUAGAGAGUGCGAAAUAAGAGACUUUAAACUGGCGAACUGAAAACGGCCGCAAGGAAAAUGGAAAAUGGAAAAUGCUACUGCCACUCGUGCUGUUGUCACGGAGCCGUGGCGGAAGCGCAGCUUUUAAUGACUCAACCUCAACUCGUUAAAGCCAAAGGCAUUCGCAUAAUGAACUCAUUUGCGUAUAGCAUGGAUCCUAAUAGGGUCAACAAAGCUGAUGACUUGCCCGCAAACCCUAAAGACGUUUCAGCUAACAGAAAUUCCAAUGCAAAGUGCCGAUCGAGCUGCCGUUGCCGCUGCUGCUGCUUCGCUUAAUUACACUUUAAGUAGCCGUAGUCAAUGGAAAUUCAAUAGGACCCAGUGUCCAGUGUGCUAAUGAGUCGCAUGAAUUCAUUCCGAGGAUGAAAAACAUGGCAAGCUAAUGAGAGAUAAAGUGAAAAGAAAUCGAAUGAAAUGCAGGGCUCAAUGAAAAUACAUAAAUAGAAGCAUUCGCAGGCAGCUCGAAUUUCGUGGCACGUUUUUGAUUUUAUCAGCUGGCAAAUUUAUGCAACACUUUGCAGCACGAGCAAGUGGCAAGUGGCCCUUUCAAUCAGUUCUUUAUGACCGGGCCAAGAGUCAUUAAACGGAAAUCUAAUUAAGCAGCUGACAGAUUUAUGAAUAUCGCCAGUUUACCUGUUCACAAUUUCACAACUCUGUCGAGGCAUAAAUUAGUUGUUUUUGCAAGGGGCAAGUGCAAUGUGGCAUGCUAACAAAAGAUUUUUCAGCUACUGCAAAUGAUGCGAUAAAUGAAGCUCACAUCUUUAGAGAGUGUGGAUGCUACAUCGGGAUCCUUGCAUCUUAACGACGCGAUGCGAUGCGAUAGGAUGGGAAGUGAUGUGUGUGCAGUCACGUGGCAAACGCAGAGGACUCAAUGCAUCAGAAGGCGGCCUCUUAACGAAGGGCAUCCUUAAGCAAGAGGUUAUUAAAAUGACAUAUGGAAUUUACGUGAACAAAGAAUGAGCUCGUACAAAAUGACAACAGAAGAUGCAAAAUGCGAAGAGGGAAUUAAGGAAGGUCCGAGGCGAUGUUGGAGCCUCGAAAGUUGUGGCAACUUAUUUAAGUCUGGGCCACUUUUGAGAACUGCUGUUGCCACUUAGUUGCAUGCAAUUCAUUUGCCUGUUAACAAAACUUGACAACAGGAUUUUCAAUGAGGCACAGCCUGCACUCUGAAGUCUCAGGUCUGGCAAGCUGGAGAGCAGUUGUGCGUCCCUCUUUGUGGAUGCCACGUGCUGAACUGAACUGAACUGAGCUGUUUGAUAAAUAACUCUUGGUGUCAGUUUUGCAAAUAGCCGUGCAUUAAUAACGCCCUUUCAGUACCAACAUUGUUGUUUAUUUGCCUGCUUGGAACAAGCAGCUUGCCUUGGAAAUAUGAAACUCUCUGCUCUGUUGGCAUGUGGCAAGACUUGAAAGUUGAAAUUAAUUUCCACUGAAGAUUACUUUCAAUGAGUCAUUAAUGUGAUUAA